GACGAACGCUGGCGGCGUGCUUAACACAUGCAAGUCGAACGGAAAGGCCCCUUUGGGGGUACUCGAGUGGCGAACGGGUGAGUAACACGUGAGUAACCUGCCCUUGACUUAGGGAUAACUUCAGGAAACUGGGGCUAAUACCGGAUAGGAAUCCUUGCUGCAUGGUGGGGGUUGGAAAGCUUCGGCGGUUUUGGAUGGACUCGCGGCUUAUCAGCUUGUUGGUGGGGUAGUGGCUUACCAAGGCUUUGACGGGUAGCCGGCCUGAGAGGGCGACCGGCCACAUUGGGACUGAGAUACGGCCCAGACUCCUACGGGAGGCAGCAGUGGGGAAUAUUGCACAAUGGGCGGAAGCCUGAUGCAGCAACGCCGCGUGCGGGAUGACGGCCUUCGGGUUGUAAACCGCUUUCAGCAGGGGCGAAGCUUUUGUGACGGUACCUGCAGAAGAAGCACCGGCUAACUACGUG
rnacentral:rRNA from 1 species